rnacentral:lncRNA from 1 species
UACAGAAAAUAAAAUAAUACCUAAUAGCUAGUGAGUGAAAUAACUACUAAGGAACAAUGAUCGCCUUGUUGGGCUUAUUGUAAGUGACUUUUAAGCCAAAAGUCAUAAGUUAGGAAUUCUAGCUUUUGGCUUAUUUUUGUCAAUUUAGCUUAAAAACAAGUGCUUAACAGCACUUUUUUACUUUAUCCAAACACUACAAAAUGGCUUAAAAGCAAUUUUGGCUUAAAAGCACUUAAAAUAAGCCAAUCCAAAUGGGCUCUUAUCCCAUGUAUGUAAGGAAUGUGUUUUAGUUAUGAGUUGGUAGGCUUGUAGCAGGUCCGUCGGUGGCAUUGCUUGUGGCGAGCAGUCAGCUGUUGGCAGGGGAAGGUGGUGCGCUGUGCGUGUAGUGUCACAAGGUGCUGCCUGCGUGGUGCUUGUUCCACUGUGCGAGCAGUCAGCUGUUGGCAGGGGAAGGUGGUGCACUGUGCGUGUAGUGUCACAAGGUGCUGCCUGCAUGGUGCUUGUUCCGCUGUGCGGCCAUUGUGGGCUGUUCAUCAUCAUAACUGACGCCGACUUGCUUGGGAUUGAGGCAUUGUUGUUGUA